GAUGAACGCUGGCGGCGUGCCUAAUACAUGCAAGUCGAGCGAACGGACGAGAAGCUUGCUUCUCUGAUGUUAGCGGCGGCCGGGUGAGUAACACGUGGAUAACCUCCCUAUAAGACUGGGAUAACUUCGGGAAACCGUAGCUAAUACCGGAUAAUAUUUUGAACCGCAUGGUUCAAAAGUGAAAGACGGUCUUGCUGUCACUUAUAGAUGGAUCCGCGCUGCAUUAGCUAGUUGGUAAGGUAACGGCUUACCAAGGCAACGAUGCAUAGCCGACCUGAGAGGGUGAUCGGCCACACUGGAACUGAGACACGGUCCAGACUCCUACGGGAGGCAGCAGUAGGGAAUCUUCCGCAAUGGGCGAAAGCCUGACGGAGCAGCGCCGCGUGAGUGAUGAAGGUCUUCGGAUCGUAAAACUCUGUUAUUAGGGAAGAACAUAUGUGUAAGUAACUGUGCACAUCUUGACGGUACCUAAUCAGAAAGCCACGGCUAACUACGUG
rnacentral:rRNA from 1 species